AGCUUAGUUGAGGAAAAGGGUGGGGCUAGCUGGAGUUUUUAAUCAAGACAGCAGUUAAUGGUAUUUUGGAAGUUUACAAAAUAUAACUGCUGAGGCUCCAGCCUUGUGAACUGAGACUAGUGGGUCAUUGUCCUCUCUGGGAUGAGAAAGCUACUGUGGGACCACUUCGAACUGCUGAGGAACCAUCCUCAAGGACAAAACAACUAUGGGACACUUAGCCUCUUAAGGUGUGAUUUAAUGAGCUGCUUGAAACUGUCAGAAGGAUCUCAGUACUUCUAAGACACAAUGAGGUAACUCAGGAAAGCACCCUCAAGACUGGCGGAGGCCCACAGGCUCACCCACUCACAGGAAGAGCAACUGGCAUUCAUCAGUGAAGUAUUCCCAGCUCUGAACGGCCUACUUUCUGAAUCCUCCUGGUAACUGGAGACAGGUCAGGGCUGGGGGCAGCAGGACGAAGAUGAGGAGCUGUUUUUAAUUACUGCCACAAAUGCUUGGGAAAAAGAUAAACCUUAAGCCACCAAAGACCAUUAUUUCCUUAAAGUGUUUUCAUAAUAAAUGUGACUGAUCUUCAGAACAA
rnacentral:lncRNA from 1 species